rnacentral:lncRNA from 1 species
UGAAGUGUGUGAAUAUGGACUCCUUGAACACAAGUCUCACUUUGUUGCCCAGGCUAGAGUGCAAUGGCGUGAUUACAGUUCACUGCAGCCUCUACCUCCUACGCUCAAGUGAUCCUUCCACCUCAGCCUUCUGAGUAGCUGGGACUACAGGCAUGUGCCACCAUGUCUGGCUAAUUUUUUAAUUUUUUUGUAGAGACAGGG